AUUUCAGAUUUUGGCAUGGCAAGGUUAUUUGCGGCAGAUCAAACUCAGGACAAUACAAAAAGAGUCGUCGGAACCUUGUAAGUGUUAGAAUCAUAACCAGCAGCAAGAUUUGGUUUUUAUCAUUCAAAUCUAAGAAAUGGUUGAAUAUAUGCAGAGGGUACAUGCCUCCAGAAUACGUAAAGCAUGGAAAGUUUUCAAUUAAAUCAGAUGUCUUUAGCUUUGGU
rnacentral:misc_RNA from 1 species